GUCGUAACAAGGUAGCCGUAUCGGAAGGUGCGGCUGGAUCACCUCCUUUCUAAGGAAUAUUACGGAAACUACACAGUUCGUUCUUACUUUGCUCAGUUUUGAGAGGUUUACUCUCAAACAUUAUAGUUGUUCAUUGAAAACUGGAUAUUGAAGUAAAAUUUUUACAACAAACCGAGAACACCGCGUUGAAAGAGUUUUUAACAAUUAAGUUCAAAACGCUAAACAAUGAGGAUUGGUGGAACUAACUAUCGCUAGUUAGCGGAAGCCAAAAGCCUAACACUUUGUGUUAGCAAUGAGGUUAAGUGAAGAAGGGCACACGGUGGAUGCCUUGGCACUAGAAGCCGACGAAGGACGGGACUAACGCCGAUAUGCUUUGGGGAGCUGUACGUAAGCUAUGAUCCAGAGAUUUCCGAACGGGGGAACCC
rnacentral:misc_RNA from 1 species